rnacentral:lncRNA from 1 species
GGGCCCGCUCGGGCCGCCGCUGCCGCCCGCGGCUUUGCGGCGCUCACGUGGUGGGAAGGAGUUUCUGGAGGAGCGGGUGGGACGUGGCUCCGAGCAGCGAGGGGAAGAGUAGCUCGGUUUCAGUUUCAGCCCCCCACCCCCCGCGCGCUUAUUUUACUUACUUAUUUUAUUUUUCUUUUAUUUUCCCCUGUAUUUCCAUACGUGAGCACUGAGGGUAGGGAGUGGGAUGGUAGAGGCCUCUGCCCUGCACAAUGUUACAUAUAAAGUUCUAGCCAUAUAGCCCAAAAUAGGGUUCUGGUAUACUCGGUUGUAAGGGAAAUGGUGUCAUAAAGGGAAUCAGGAAAAUGCCAUUAAAUGGUUACCAAAAAGGAGAAGAAAGCAUGGAGGAAAGUAUAAAGGCUACGAGUGUGGACCUGAGACAAAGUGUUUGCUACCUGCAAGAAGCUUGGAAGAGUGAGCAGAUACAGAAGGACAAGAAGACUGCCAGAAGGUAUUUGUAAUUGAAGGACAAGACGGAUUUUAAGAUCUUGCAGGAAAGGUGAACUCUGUUAAGUCUCUGCAGGGGCUGCUUGCAGCUUCAGGACCUUGCCUUGUGCAAUCGUCACCCAGCUGGGUGGCAGAAACCUCUACCGAGCCUACCGCACCACUGCCCUGGAAACUUGCGCCACAGAUUUCUCUGGGGUGCUGUGCUGAAUAAAAAGUGAGCUGUUUUAAAUAACUGUAGAAAUGAAAGAGUCUGAUGUUUUAGUAUGCUUCUAAUAAUAAUCUGGCUCGUGUUUAUACACUGGGAGCUUUCAAACCUCUUCUGUUCACAGAGAGUUGUGUCAAAAGAUCAGGAGAAGCAUAAAAUAGGAACUGCUAUUCAUAACUACCACUCCAUGAAGAUUGUUUCCAUGUGGAGAUGAUGGAUCAUUUAGAAGACAUCGUAUCUCAAGUACCAAGCUGUGGAGAACUGGACAAGGAGAUGUUUCUUUCUUUUCCUGCACCUGUGUCUUGCCAACAAACACUAUAUGUGCCAGUUCAUCACAAACUGAUGACAAGGAGGAGCAAGCAAUCGAUGGUCAGGUUGUGACUGCGAUGAAGGCAAUAACAACAGUACUGGAGCAAGAAAUCCCAGAGCAGCUUGACAGACAAAAACUUAUACAUGAGACAGGCAUACCUGCUUUGAAGCAUAUUUUAGAAGAUAUACAGCUGAAAGGACCAGGACAUGUAACUUUUAAAAUUCUGGUUGUACUCUUUUUGGUUAAAUUAUGGAAAAGGCUGUGA